rnacentral:rRNA from 1 species
GUGCCAGCCGCCGCGGUAAUACCGGCAGCCCAAGUGAUGGCCGCUGUUAUUGGGCCUAAAGCGUCCGUAGCUGGCCGCGCAAGUCCAUCGGGAAAUCCACCCGCCCAACGGGUGGCCGUCCGGUGGAAACUGUACGGCUUGGGACCGGAAGGCUCGAAGGGUACGUUCGGGGUAGGAGUGAAAUCCCAUAAUCCCGCACGGACCACCGAUGGCGAAAGCACUUCGAGAAAACGGAUCCGACAGUGAGGGACGAAAGCCAGGGUCUCCAACCGGAUUAGAAACCCGGGUAGUUC